CGGUCCUAAGGUAGCGAAAUUCCUUGUCGGGUAAGUUCCGACCUGCACGAAUGGCAUAAUGAUGGCCACACUGUCUCCUCCCGAGACUCAGUGAAGUUGAAAUGUUUGUGAUGAUGCAAUCUCCCCGCGGCUAGACGGAAAGACCCCAUGAACCUUUACUGUAGCUUUGCAUUGGACUUUGAACCGAUUUGUGUAGGAUAGGCGGGAGGCAGAGAAAGCGCAACGCCAGUUGUGCCGGAGCCGACGUUGAAAUACCGCCCUGAUUUGUUUGAGGUUCUAACCGCGACCCGUGAGCCGGGUCCGGGACCGUGCAUGGCAGGCAGUUUGACUGGGGCGGUCUCCUCCUAAAGGGUAACGGAGGAGUACAAAGGUACGCUAGGUACGGUCGGAAAUCGUGCUGAUAGUGCAAAGGCAAAAGCGUGCUUGACUGCGAGACCGACAAGUCGAGCAGAUGCGAAAGCAGGUCUUAGUGAUCCGGUGGCUCUGUAUGGAAGGGCCAUCGCUCAACGGAUAAAAGGUACUCCGGGGAUAACAGGCUGAUACCGCCCAAGAGUUCAUAUCGACGGCGGUGUUUGGCACCUCGAUGUCGGCUCAUCUCAUCCUGGGGCUGUAGCCGGUCCCAAGGGUAUGGCUGUUCGCCAUUUAAAGAGGUACGUGAGCUGGGUUUAAAACGUCGUGAGACAGUUUGGUCCCUAUCUGCCGUGGGCGCUGGAAGAUUGACGGGGGCUGCUCCUAGUACGAGAGGACCGGAGUGGACGCACCUCUGGUGUACCGGUUGUCACGCCAGUGGCAUCGCCGGGUAGCUAUGUGCGGAAGAGAUAACCGCUGAAAGCAUCUAAGCGGGAAACUUGCCUGAAGAUAAGUCUUCCCGGAGGCUAGACCUCCCUGAAGAGUCGUUCGAGACCAGGACGUUGAUAGGUCGGGUGUGUAAGCGUUGUGAGACGUUUAGCUAACCGAUACUAAUUGCUCGUGAGGCUUGAUCCU
rnacentral:rRNA from 1 species